GGGGAUUUGGCUCAGCGGCAGAGCGCUUGCCUAGGAAGCGCAAGGCCCUGGGUUCGGUCCCCAGCUCCCCA
rnacentral:tRNA from 1 species